UUUUCAGUAUGAGUAUGUCCUGUGUAAGACUCAGGAUAUACUUAUACUAAGA
rnacentral:pre_miRNA from 1 species